rnacentral:tRNA from 1 species
GCCUGGGUGGCUCGGUCGGUAAAGCGUCUGACUUCAGCUCAGGUCAUGAUCUCAUGGCUUGUGAGUUCGAGCCCCAUGUCAGGCU